rnacentral:rRNA from 1 species
AGAGUUUGAUCCUGGCUCAGAUUGAACGCUGGCGGCAUGCUUUACACAUGCAAGUCGAACGGCAGCGCGGGGAGCUUGCUCCCUGGCGGCGAGUGGCGCACGGGUGAGUAAUACAUCGGAACGUGUCUUCUAGUGGGGGAUAACUGCCCGAAAGGGCAGCUAAUACCGCAUGAGACCUGAGGGUGAAAGCGGGGGAUCGCAAGACCUCGCGCUGGAAGAGCGGCCGAUGUCCGAUUAGCUAGUUGGUGAGGUAAAGGCUCACCAAGGCGACGAUCGGUAGCUGGUCUGAGAGGACGACCAGCCACACUGGGACUGAGACACGGCCCAGACUCCUACGGGAGGCAGCAGUGGGGAAUUUUGGACAAUGGGGGCAACCCUGAUCCAGCCAUGCCGCGUGCAGGAUGAAGGUCUUCGGAUUGUAAACUGCUUUUGUCAGGGACGAAAAGGGAUGCGAUAACACCGCAUUCCGCUGACGGUACCUGAAGAAUAAGCACCGGCUAACUACGUGCCAGCAGCCGCGGUAAUACGUAGGGUGCAAGCGUUAUCCGGAAUUAUUGGGCGUAAAGGGCUCGUAGGCGGUUCGUCGCGUCCGGUGUGAAAGUCCAUCGCUUAACGGUGGAUCUGCGCCGGGUACGGGCGGGCUGGAGUGCGGUAGGGGAGACUGGAAUUCCCGGUGUAACGGUGGAAUGUGUAGAUAUCGGGAAGAACACCAAUGGCGAAGGCAGGUCUCUGGGCCGUUACUGACGCUGAGGAGCGAAAGCGUGGGGAGCGAACAGGAUUAGAUACCCUGGUAGUCCACGCCGUAAACGGUGGAUGCUGGAUGUGGGGCCCGUUCCACGGGUUCCGUGUCGGAGCUAACGCGUUAAGCAUCCCGCCUGGGGAGUACGGCCGCAAGGCUAAAACUCAAAGAAAUUGACGGGGGCCCGCACAAGCGGCGGAGCAUGCGGAUUAAUUCGAUGCAACGCGAAGAACCUUACCUGGGCUUGACAUGUUCCCGACGGUCGUAGAGAUGCGGCUUCCCUUCGGGGCGGGUUCACAGGUGGUGCAUGGUCGUCGUCAGCUCGUGUCGUGAGAUGUUGGGUUAAGUCCCGCAACGAGCGCAACCCUCGCCCUGUGUUGCCAGCACGUCAUGGUGGGAACUCACGGGGGACCGCCGGGGUCAACUCGGAGGAAGGUGGGGAUGACGUCAGAUCAUCAUGCCCCUUACGUCCAGGGCUUCACGCAUGCUACAAUGGCCGGUACAACGGGAUGCGACGCGGCGACGCGGAGCGGAUCCCUGAAAACCGGUCUCAGUUCGGAUUGGAGUCUGCAACUCGACUGCGUGAAGGCGGAGUCGCUAGUAAUCGCGAAUCAGCAACGUCGCGGUGAAUGCGUUCCCGGGCCUUGUACACACCGCC